AGAUUGAACGCUGGCGGCGUGCUUAACACAUGCAAGUCGAGCGGCAGCGCGGUAGCAAUACUGGCGGCGAGCGGCGGACGGGUGAGUAACGCUUGGGAAUCUGCCUAUUAGUGGGGGACAACCCGGGGAAACUCGGGCUAAUACCGCAUACGCUCUACGGAGGAAAGCCGGGGACCGCAAGGCCUGGCGCUAAUAGAUGAGCCCAAGUCGGAUUAGCUAGUUGGUAGGGUAACGGCCUACCAAGGCGACAAUCCGUAGCUGGUCUGAGAGGACGACCAGCCACACCGGAACUGAGACACGGUCCGGACUCCUACGGGAGGCAGCAGUGGGGAAUAUUGGACAAUGGGGGAAACCCUGAUCCAGCGACGCCGCGUGGGUGAAGAAGGCCUGCGGGUUGUAAAGCCCUUUCGGUGAGGAAGAAAAGUUGCGACCUAACACGUCGCGACCUUGACGUAACUCAUUAAAGAGCACCGGCUAACUCUGUGCCAGCAGCCGC
rnacentral:rRNA from 1 species